rnacentral:rRNA from 1 species
AACGCGAAGAACCUUACCUGGGCUCGAAAUGCAGAGGGCGAUACCAGAAAUGGUAUUUUCCGAAAGGACUUCUGUAUAGGUGCUGCAUGGCUGUCGUCAGCUCGUGCCGUGAGGUGUUGGGUUAAGUCCCGCAACGAGCGCAACCCUUACUCUUAGUUGCCACCCGCAAGGGGGAACUCUAAGAGGACUGCUCCGGAUAACGGAGAGGAAGGUGGGGAUGAGGUCAAGUCAGCAUGGCCUUUAUGUCCAGGGCGACACACGUGUUACAAUGCGCGCUACAAUGCGUCGCGAACCCGCGAGGGGGAGCUAAUCGCAAAAAAGCGCGCUCAGUUCGGAUUGCAGUCUGCAACUCGACUGCAUGAAGCUGGAAUCGCUAGUAAUGGCGCAUCAGAACGGCGCCGUGAAUACGUUCCCGGGCCUUGUACACACCGGAGUA